CAGGCUUUCACCAUGGUCUCGAUCUCCUGACCUCGUGAUCUGCCUGCCUCAGCCUCCCAAAGUGCUGGGAUUACAGGCGUGAGCCACCAUUCCCCGCCUCCAUUUUUACCAAAUUUUUAAUCCUUUCAAUUUUCUUCAAUACCUGGCUACAAUCCUCCAAACUAUUUCCAUUUUUCUCCCUCCCACCUGGCUCAGCAUCACUGGGAACUAAAAACCUGACUGAUCAGAUCUCUAUCAUUACUUUAGGUUACCUUAAAGCUGGCUCUUUUCCCUAGGAUCUGAAGAAAUCUUGCAAGCUGAAGCCUGACAGUUUGGUGCAAACCUCCGAGGGCUCACCACUUCAGUAGAACAUGCAUGGUUCAGGUGGUUUUACAGGAACAACACUAACAAAGUCCUCUGGAGACCCUUUCUUGGAUCCCGCUCCACCUUCUCAGGAGGUUUAUGAUCACCUCGGAGUUGUUCAGCAAUGAGACACUUGCCUUGAACAAAAAGGUGACUGACAAUGUUGAACUUUUCCUGAGUCUUGUGCUCCCUGAAAGUUGCAACAAUUAUGAAAUCCCCCACCCCACUCCUUUGUGUCCCAGGAGGCUAACUACAGAGGACCACCCUGCCCUUGCAUAUUCCAAGACAGACUCAUCUCCAUCCUUGCGCGUGACUCCCGUAGGACUCGCAGAUGGCUCCGUUAGUGACCUGCUUGCAUAAAACCCUCG
rnacentral:lncRNA from 1 species